rnacentral:rRNA from 1 species
CACGUAGGGUGCGAGCGUUGUCCGGAAUUAUUGGGCGUAAAGAGCUCGUAGGCGGUGUGUCGCGUCGGCCGUGAAAACCUGCAGCUUAACUGUGGGCUUGCGGUCGAUACGGGCAUCACUGGAGUUCGGCAGGGGAGACUGGAAUUCCUGGUGUAGCGGUGGAAUGCGCAGAUAUCAGGAGGAACACCGGUGGCGAAGGCGGGUCUCUGGGCCGUUACUGACGCUGAGGAGCGAAAGCGUGGGGAGCGAACAGG